GAUGAAGAACGUAGCGAAAUGCGAUAAGUAGUGUGAAUUGCAGAAUUCAGUGAAUCAUCGAAUCUUUGAACGCACAUUGCGCCCCUUGGUAUCCCGAGGGGCAUGCCUGUUCGAGCGUCAUUUCACCACUCAAGCCUGGCUUGGUGUUGGGCGACGUCCUCUUUGGGGACGCGCCUCGAAACGCUCGGCGGCGUGGCACCGGCUUUAAGCGUAGCAGAAUCUUUCGCUUUGGAAGUCGGGGCCCCGUCUGCCGGAAGACCUGCUCGCAAGGUUGACCUCGGAUCAGGCAGGGAUACCCGCUGAACUUAAGCAUAUCAAUAACGGAGGA
rnacentral:misc_RNA from 1 species